UAAUUGGAAAAAACUCCCCUGCGCCCCUCGGGCGCGGAAAAAGGAGGUGUGACAGUCGGGGAAGAAGACGAAGGACGUUAUUUAAUUAGGGGUAUAGCGUCUUCAUUUCAUACGCUAUGUAUAGCGUAUGAAAUGAAGACGCUAUAUAUGGCAGUCAAAUCGUCAGGUAAUAUAGCGUUCAAAUACAAGGCGCUAUACUUUAACGGCAAAAGUUACCGUUAAGGUAUAGCGUCUUGUAUUUGAACGCUAUACAUAGAAAGGUAACUUUUUUUUUACACUUAUUAAUGUAUUUUGAGUCCAAAAAAACAAUAUUUAUGUUCCGACUGCAAAAGUAGCUAGUGUAGCAAAACACUUUUACACUAAAACAAAUAGUAUUAUAGGAGAAUCAUAAUUGUAAUUACACAACUUUAAUCAAACCAUACAUAGGUGAACCCAGUAGCAACAGCCUCUCAGGUCUCCACUUUGGCAUUUCUAAUAGCUCCUUCAUUCAGUUUACAUUCUCAAAAUCCCAUAUUUUGGAAUCUAAAAAUACUAGUACAUCUUACUGGCAAGAGCUUUACUUAACAACAAAACAAGAAUGCAACAAGCAUGUUAUGAAUUAUCCAGUAAACUACAAUGACUUACAGCAAGAGCUAAAUGACAAUCACCAUAGUCAAAGGCAUCGUGUACAAUGAUGAGAUCUUCAUUUCCAUACGGAAAGAAACUAAGGUGCUGACUGUUGAAUAUCAAACAAAGUUUUACUUUUCCGAGAGGAAAGUUUGUAGAUCAAAAAAAUAAAUGGAAUGUAUCGGCAAAAGAGAUUAACUGACUCCAUGAACUAUCUUCACUUUCUAAGAAAGAGAUGGAUUAACAAUUCAACCUUAGCAACUAUAAGAGAAACUACUGCUAUCAGUAUCCUGCAAGUUCACAAUUAGCCAUAAUUUUAGUGUGCUAGCAUGAGAUCGUGUGAGACCUUGAACCGAGAAAUCUAUAGAAUAAUAUUGUUGAUGAUUAGACUUCCAUUAGCAGAAAUACAUAAGUUUUCCCAAAAAUCUGCAACCAAUAAGAUCACACUGCUUCGCUAGGCCAAUUAAGCAUUUUGGUUUAAGAGAUACGUCAUUCUCUUAGGUUUUAGCUCUUGUUUAAUUAUCUCUCAUGGUGUCAUACUGAUGGGGUUUCCAGCAGCUGUAGCGAUAUCUGCUUACACUCUUCUUUUUUGCUGGUCUUCCCUAAUCUUUGCUUUUAGCAUCUUGGAUAAUGUCUUUCUUCAACCGGUUCAAUCUCUGAUCUUUACCUGAUCAGACUCAAUAUAACUGUCUGUGAAUCCUACCUUCUAUAUAUGAACUUAUGAAAGAAAAAAUGUUGUACCUUGUUUGAUUGGUUUGUUUUUGUGCCUUUAGGAAAUUAUUUGUAAUGACCCGACCAGUCAUUUUGAGCUUUAGCAUUCAGUUCGGCGGUAUUGAGACCUUGAUUAGCUACAUAUAAUGCAUUAUAACUUGCGUUUAUGGUUGGUGUUGUUGUUUGAGAGGUUCAAGAUUGAUUUGGAAAAGUGAUUCUUAAUUUAGAAGCUUUAAGUUGGAAGAGUUGACCAAUGUUUGACUUUUGAGUAGAUAACCUCAGAUCAGAGUUUUGGUUGUUUCGAUAGACUCAAAUGGUGAUUUUGACUUAGGCACAUGCCCGUAUUUGAUUUCUGAGGUUCCUAGGUGAGUUUGAGGAUAAUUGUCGAAAGUUGGCGCUUGAAGGUGUUGGAAUUGGCUAAGCUUGACUUAGAGUGGACUUUGGUGAUAUUGGAUUCUGUUUGGUGUUUCGAGCCUUGGAAGGAGGGGGGGGGGGGGUCGUGUUGUCAUAUUAGACUUGUGUGUGAAAUUUGGAGAAAUUCCGUGAGGUGUUUAAGAGUGAUUCAGACACUUGAGUUGCAUACUAGUUAAGUUUAAGAAUUUGAGUUGGCCACAGUCAAAUAGUGGACUCGAGCUCAAAUUAAUGAUUUAAAUAUUUAACAUAUUUGUCUGAUGACUGUGGACUUGUUCGCAAAUUUUACUUAGAUUCUGAUGAGUUUCAAAUGGGUUUGAGUUUUGUUGCGCUCUUAUUUGGUGUUUUGAUGUUAUUUUUUUGACAUAAAGGGCACUAUAUUGACCAAAUGAUAUCUAAAUUUUGUUUUACUGAACCAUUAGAUUAGUAUUGUGAUUUCGAAGUCAUAGCAUUAAGAAUCGUCGAAUUCCGAGAUCGUAUGAGAGAGUUAUGCUCAUUUAAGUAUUGAAAAAGAUUGCUGGUUUCUGAUGCGAACUUUUGUUCUUCGCAAAUGCGAGGAGGGAUCCGCGAACACAAAGAAGGAAUUUGGGUUGAUCGGUCAAUGCAAAAAUUUCUUUUCGUGAAGGAGAAGGUGUCCCGCGAAGGCGAUAAACAAAAAUCACCUGGUUAGUUUUGAAUUAUUCAGCAUUGAUUUGAGGUAUUAGAGCGUUGUUGGAGUUGAUUAUCAAAUUUCGGAUCAAGACAAGUCUCUUGCCUAAUCUUGUAAGAGGGAACUUAUCUUCGUAGGUAUUCUAUUUGCUAUAUGUUAUGUGUUAUAGGAGCUACGUAAAUAUGAGGUGAAAACCGUCCAUGUGUAUACUAGAUUUGUAUAUGUCUGGAUAGACUUAGACUUAUAUCAUGCUUUAGCUAUACUAUUUGAGUUAAUA